ensembl:lncRNA
CUAAGCACUAAGCAACAGACUCAUCCAAAGCAAUUCCUUGUCUGAGUCAAGGCCAUGUCAAUGUAUUAACACUCUGUUUACUUCAGACCAAAGUUCAGAUGAAUCAGAGAACAUCCAUGUGCCUCUGACUUCCACUUCAUGAUGCUCCUUUGGUUUAGUUAUUGAGGGAGACCCUGGCCCAGAAAACUCUAAGGAUUGAUUGCUCUUGAAGGCACAAGAAAUCACAAUUGCAAUUACCUGGCCCCAGAAGAUAUGUGUGGAUGUUGGUUUUCUGCGUGGGGCAAGGCACUUUGUUGGCUGUAAUACAACAUACCAGCACCGGAAUUUGAGGUGCAAACUCCUCCCAGGCUACAGGAUCAGAACUGCAGUCUCUAAAACAAAACAAAACAAAACAAAACAAAAACAGAAAAGCAAACCUAUGGACGCUAUCAGCUUGCAGCUGAUUCCCUGUAUGGUCACUGGGAAGCUAAGGUCAAGCUGUCAGACCACUGCCAACAGCUGCAGAAGGAGAAAUGAAGUGAAUUCUAGUGGAUGAGGAGAAGAGAAGAGGAAUCAAGACAUCAGUAUCUUACUGCUGGGAGCAGCAGGUUAUGGACCUCUG